rnacentral:lncRNA from 1 species
CCUUCUCCCCACAUCCUCGCCAGUGGCUCAGUCUUUCCGUUUCUAACCCAGGGGUGUUUCCAUGGUGAAAGCAGAAGAUGAGAGAGGUGGGUGAGCCGUGGGGUGAGGAGAGUUCUCUGCCGGAAGGAAACACAAGGGUGCUACACGGAACAGAGAGAGGAAUGGCAAAGCCAAUGGAGAAAAGCUCAGAAUAGAGCUCGUAAAAGGAUUUGAAGGCGAUAUCAGCACAGAAUCCCCCACUUCAGAACAAGAGGAGGAGGAGGAUGCAUGGUAUUUCAUGGGGUUGAGGCCGAGUUCUCCAACUCAGACCUGGUGGAGUUAAGCAAAUCACUUCAGCAACAAAAUACACCACUGCUUUGUAAGUUUCAUUUUUCUUUUUUGGGGGGCAGGGGGCAAUACCAGGGGGGAUUGAACUCAGGGACCCUCGACCACUGAGCCACAUCCCCAGCCCUAUUUUGUAUCUUAUUUAGAGACAGGGUCUCACUGAGCUGCUUAGUGCCUCGCUCUUGCUGAGGCUGGCUUUGAACUCUCGAUCCUCCUGCCUCAGCCUCCUGCGAGCACUGGGAUGACAGGAGUGCUCCACAGCACCAGCUUCAUUCUUUCUUUAAAAUAUGCCAACUACAUGUUAAUAAUUCAUUUGUUAUUUUUGUCCUUUACAUUUUCAUAAAAUCAAAUGGGGUUUUUCUGUAGUAAGUACCUUAGUCAUCGACACCAAAGGGAAGGCCGAGGACAAAAGGGGCACAGUGACUUUUCCAAAUUGCCAUCCUGGUCGGUCAUAUAUAUAUAUAUAUAUAUAUUUUAAGUGAUUUUCAUGAAAUGUUCGUCUUCAUCACCUCUGGGUGUGGGUAGUAUUGAGAGUAUCAUGAAAUGCACCAGAGACGGUGAGCAGUUCAGAAAGCUGGAACCACUGCUUUAUUGAGAGCAGGCCCUUGCUGUAUGUGCAAACUCAAGCCUAUUCAAUGAUUAGAUCUCGUAAUCAGGAAAACCUAAGAGAAAAGGGAACUUUAGAAGGUCAUGAUGCUCCGGUUCUCAUCAUUACACGGCCACUCUGCACACAUCCAUGUCUUUAUCCGAGUUGACCAUAUGCACCUGAUGUGGGCUUUGCAACAGAGAAGUGAAUAGGAACCACUGUAGUGUGUAAGGGUGUGCAUGCCACAGGGUACGUAGGCGAUUUCUUUUGGGUUUGUUAUUCUUAUAUCAGGAAAAUAUACCCAGCAUGUUCAGAUGGUGACGGAAGAGGGGAAUGAACAGUUGAAGUUUAGGAAAUGCCAAAAUAUCGAGUUAGAGGAGUCAAGGAAAUUGGAGUCACAUGCCAGGAAUUGUGUCCCCUCCACCAUAAUAGAGAGGCUGUAGCUCCUCUUUCUCCCUUCAUAGACUCUCUGGGACAUUCCUGGCCACAGAAUUCCAGAGGAAUUCAAUUUUCUCUUUUUUUUCUUUCCCACUGAGCACCCACCACAAGAGUCUUGGCUGCCUCGUGUUCUGCUCCUCUGCUUUCCGAGGGUUCAUGGAGAAGGUCCUCUCAGAGUUCCUGACCACAGAUGCCGCCUCAACAUCCCAUGAGGUUUAAAAAAAAAAAAAUCAUCAGGACAAUGGAGCCCUUCCCUAUUUUAUUUUUCAAUAGAUCUGAAUGGGACAGUUACCCAGGAUAACCAUUUCACUCUGUCAGUCUCUGCCAGAAAUUCUAGACAGAAAUACACCAGCUUCAAAGGACCUAGGUGCCACUCCCCAGAGGAAGCUAUGGCCAGCCUGUCCAACCGCCUUACACCACAGGGCAAGCAGGUCCAGUUGGACAAUUGUGCACAUAUGGGGACUCACAAAUGUCCACCCUGGGAAAAUACCCUAUUUGUUAGGAAACUUAUUCCACAUAUCUUUGUCUUGCUGGCACUUGGGGGGAAGUCACGCUGUGCAUAUUGUAAGCCAGUAACAGCAACACAUCCGCAUCUAGCCCCGUGAUAUAUGGUAUAAUUAGAAUUGCAAUGCACCUGAUAGAACCUGAAAUGUUGUCGAGUCUGUAGGAUAACAAAACAAGUGAAGAAUCAUUCAUACAUCGUCAUGUCAAAAAAUAAACUUUCUACCUGUGCCAAUGUCACUAACUGUGAUGGUUAGCUUCAUGUGUUGGUGUAGCUAAAAAUCCAGUUAUUUAAACAAACACAGGUCCAGGUAUUGAUGGGAAAUUAUUUUGUAGGCACGGUUAACUUUUACAGCCAGUUGAUUCUAAGCAAUGGAAAUGACUAUGGAUAAUGUGAGCAGAUCUCAUCCAAUCAGAUGAAAGCCCUUCAAGCAAAAAAAAAAAAAAAAAAAAAAAAAAUCCCUGAAGUUUCCUGGAGAAGAAUUUUCCAUGAGACCAGCAUCAAUUGCUACUUGAAUCCACAGCCUUCCAGGGCCAUCCUACGAAGUUCAAGCUUGCCGGCACCCACCUUUGCAUGAAACAAUUCCUUAAACUAAAUCUCUUAAUGGUCUUAAUGCUAUACAUGCAUAUCCUAUUGGUGCUGUUUCUCUGGAUAGCCCUGAAUGUUAUGCUGCAUCUCGCUAAAAAUAAUUCAGGAUCUCAUAGAUGCAAGUCAGACCUGACUGACGGGCUUGUUGCUGCCAAAGAAAAGCAGUCCUAUUCACCUCACUCUCAGACCUGGUCCUCCAAGUAGAGAUCUGCAGUGCUCACACUCAACUCCAGGUGGCGCUCUUGUUCUACGGGAAAGAGUCAGGCUCUAUGGUUGCUGGACACACCCCAGCCUCGUUCCCUGAUUUCUAGGCCUUUCAAUGACUCAGCAAUGGGAGAGAGGAAGUACAAAAUUAAGACAGCAGAAACUCCCAGCGUGCCCAAUGUACAGAAGCUAACCAACAGAAAAUUCAAUUUGGG